rnacentral:rRNA from 1 species
GACGAACGCUGGCGGCGUGCUUAACACAUGCAAGUCGAACGGAAAGGCCCUGCUUUUGUGGGGGGCUCGAGUGGCGAACGGGUGAGUAACACGUGAGUAACCUGCCCUUGACUUUGGUAUAACUUCAGGAAACUGGGGCUAAUACCGGAUAGGAGCUCCUGCUGCAUGGUGGGGGUUGGAAAGUUUCGGCGGUUGGGGAUGGACUCGCGGCUUAUCAGCUUGUUGGUGGGGUAGUGGCUUACCAAGGCUUUGACGGGUAGCCGGCCUGAGAGGGUGACCGGCCACAUUGGGACUGAGAUACGGCCCAGACUCCUACGGGAGGCAGCAGUGGGGAAUAUUGCACAAUGGGCGGAAGCCUGAUGCAGCAACGCCGCGUGCGGGAUGACGGCCUUCGGGUUGUAAACCGCUUUCGCCUGUGACGAAGCGUGAGUGACGGUAAUGGGUAAAGAAGCACCGGCUAACUACGUG